ensembl:piRNA 21ur-4473 ncRNA
AUACUUCUGAACCUUUGUAAC